rnacentral:ncRNA from 2 species
AUCCAUGGGCAGGUUGAAGAUCGAGUAACAUCAAUUGGAGGACCGAACUCACUAAUGUUGAAAAAUUAGGAGAUGACCUGUGGAUCGGAGUGAAAGGCUAAUCAAGCCGGGAGAUAGCUGGUUCUCCUCGAAAGCUAUUUAGGUAGCGCCUCGCGUCUCACCCUCGGGGGUAGAGCACUGUUUGGGCUAGGGGGUCAUCCCGACUUACCAACCCCAUGCAAACUCCGAAUACCGAGGAGUGCAAUCGCGGGAGACACACGGCGGGUGCUAACGUCCGUAGUGGAGAGGG